UCUCAGACACGACUACAUUAGAUACCCGUGUAGUCCUAGCCGUAAACGAUACUCGCUAGGUGUCGGCCACGGUGCGACCGUUGUCGGUGCCGGUAGGGAAGCCGUGAAGCGAGCCACCUGGGAAGUACGGCCGCAAGGCUGAAACUUAAAGGAAUUGGCGGGGGAGCACCACAACGGGUGGAGCUUGCGGUUUAAUUGGAUUCAACGCCGGAAAUCUUACCGGGACCGACGGCAACAUGAAGGCCAGGCUGAAGACUUUGCCGGAUUAGCUG
rnacentral:rRNA from 1 species